rnacentral:rRNA from 1 species
UACGUAGGGUGCAAGCGUUGUCCGGAAUUAUUGGGCGUAAAGAGCUCGUAGGCGGUUUGUUGCGUCGGCUGUGAAAUCCCGAGGCUCAACCUCGGGUCUGCAGUCGAUACGAGCAAACUAGAGUGUUGCAGGGGAGACUGGAAUCCUGGUGUAGCGGUGAAAUGACGCAGAUAUCAGGAGGAACACCGGUGGCGAAGGCGGGUCUCUGGGCAACAACUGACGCUGGAGGAGCGAAAGCGUGGGGAGCGAACAGG